UACGUAGGGUGCGAGCGUUAAUCGGAAUUACUGGGCGUAAAGCGUGCGCAGGCGGCUCGUUGUGUCCGAUGUGAAAGCCCCGAGCUCAACUUGGGAAUGGCAUUGGAAACUGGCGAGCUGGAGUGUGGCAGAGGGGGGUGGAAUUCCACGUGUAGCAGUGAAAUGCGUAGAGAUGUGGAGGAACACCGAUGGCGAAGGCAGCCCCCUGGGCCAACACUGACGCUCAGGCACGAAAGCGUGGGGAGCAAACAGG
rnacentral:rRNA from 1 species